rnacentral:lncRNA from 1 species
UUUAAAUACAGUGUAAAUGAUCUGUAAAUUGUAUAGGCACUGCUUAUGAGAGACAGCAGAUAUACACUUUGGGUUACACAAGUGACAUCCAAGCUGUGAAGCAAGUAUCCUGGUCUUGGUUUUUCCAGUUGAGAAACAAGCUGAUAGGUGCCUACACCCCAACUUCCAGGCUACAUAACUUGCUUUUCCAGUCAGACCUGAAAGUACAACAGGAAAAGUGGUUUCAAGCUAUACAGAGUUCAGAUGUGACUGCAGUACGAACUUGGAGCUGCCAUCUGGGGAGACCACGCCAAAUAUGUACAGCACUUAGGUCUCUAAGAUCAGUUCAAGGCAAGAAGAAACAUACUGUUGUGCUCCUCCUGGAAAACCCCUUCCAACUCCCCUACACUUCAGAAAAAGAACUUGUUCAGCUUUACUGAAGGUUCAGGUUGGAUAUCAGGAAAAGGUUCUUCAUCAGAGGAUGAAUAUGCCCUGGAACAGAGUCCCCAGGGCAGUGGUCAUGGCCCCACGCUACCGGAGUUCAAGUACUGUUUGGACACUGCUCUCAUACACACGGUCUGAUUUUUGUGUGGUCCUGUGUGGAGCCAGAAGUUGAACUCAAUGAUCCUUGUGGGUCUCUUCCAACUCGGGAUAUUCUAUAAUUCUUGAUUCCAUGAAUUUUGUUGGUGCUCCAUGUGAAUCAUCACUUGCAUUCAGCUCACUGCCCUGAGAGCGAAGAGAGAGAUGGCACUGAGCAUAAAGAAAGCUGCACGCAAAGAAGAAGUCACCAUACUGGAAGAAAGCACUUGAAAUCACGUAGCAAAAUUAUGUCCCCAUGGGUUGAUGCUCUGGAUACAUUCACAAAAGAGAAAAGAUAAAAUCUGUCUAGGAUUACUCAGAGAGAAAUUAGUGCGUUUGUGGCUGCUUGUUCUUACUCUGGCCUAAACUCUUCUGGUAUCCUGACAGGAAAAAAAAAGGUCUUUGAAACUUGCAGAGUAGUUUGCAAAGCUAUUUUGGAGGUAAGAAUUGAGUUCUCUCUCUGUUUCCUACUGAGAUGAAUUGUAAUGGAUUGAGCAAG